UACGUAGGGGGCUAGCGUUGUCCGGAAUCAUUGGGCGUAAAGAGCGUGUAGGCGGCCAGGUAGGUCCGUUGUGAAAACUCGAGGCUCAACCUCGAGCUGUCGGUGGAAACUGUCUGGCUAGAGUCCGGAAGAGGAGAGUGGAAUUCCUGGUGUAGCGGUGAAAUGCGCAGAUAUCAGGAAGAACACCUAUGGCGAAGGCAGCUCUCUGGGACGGUACUGACGCUGAGACGCGAAAGCGUGGGGAGCGAACAGG
rnacentral:rRNA from 1 species